GGCGGUGCAUUUCCGUAUGUUCUGUUUUGCUGACGGACAUCCGGUUCACGUCGCGUUGAGGCUGGGCCCAUCUGGAAAGCAGCAAAAAAGGGUUGAAUAGAGCAGCACCGGUCUCCGUUUGUUAGAGCCCACCAAAAAGCGAAGAACGAUGUUGUAAUUUAUUCCGAUCCACAGCAGAUCCAUGUCUAGACAAAUAAAGCGCAUCUAUGCAGCAAACAGCCCUCGAGAUGGCCCGAACUACUACUCUUGAUUCCUCCGGUCGAUCAUGUAAGUAAGCCCUUUUUGCAGUCAACUUCUGAUUGUGAGGAACGGUGCACGGAAGCAACAGAAUGUGGUUAAAGACGCCUAACCGGAAAAGGUCAAAAGCGAACUAAAUGUUAAGAAUCCCUCCUAUGACAAAAAUGACAGCAAAUCCGGAAUCCAAAGAAGGACUGGUUUUGUUGUUUCUACUUAGAUGUGUAGAAAUAUCCAACACCAAACACGAAAUCAUUCUCAAAAUAGAUCGCAAGACAGGAGGAACAAAACACAUGCCUUUCCCGAGCGAGAUGUUUGCUCUGAACUCCGAAUCUGGGGAUGACGGCGUUUUCUGGCAUUCUUGUAGCAGAGCAUAGACUAAACCAUCAGCUUUGUCAUUUGGAUCAGUUUGGAUUGUGGAUAGUUCGAGGCAUCCCUGCUACCACCGAAUCAGAUUUGGGAAGAAACAAAAAAAACAAACAGAUCAGAACAAAACAGAGCUAAAGUUCGAUCAGCAGUUUAUAUUCAAGCGGCUCCUGCAAUGUCCAUGGUUCUGGAAACGCCAUACGACAAAAAGACUACCGCCGAGGAACCGGCUGUUAACUUCGAAUUUCUAAACGGACAUGAUCGGCAAUUCGACUCUAACAGAUUCAGGUUGGCUGAAAGUCCUCAAGUGUGUACGAUACCGAUGUGCGUCUGUCGUGUUCGUUAGUCUUUACACACUGCUCUCCUUUUUCUCGGAAAGCAGGAAUCACGAUUUGCUGCAUCGAUAAUUGAAAAUUUCAAACAGGUUCGCUAUUAAAUUGCAUGUGUUCUCUCCAACAACAUACAUAGUUGAAUUGCUUAGCCUUUCAACAAAAUUAUGGUUUAUUGAAUUUAUUGUGUUGGAUGGCAAGCGAUUGAACGAUUUUACUGGUUUCAUUAAAAAAAAAAAAUUAGAAUAGAGUAUCAAAGAAAAAAUGUUUAGACAUUGGUUAGCAAAUUCUUAAAAAACUUUCAUAUUAUAGAAAUCUCUGCCGAGUUUAUUUAUAAGCAAGUAUUAUAAACCAUGACGUGAACAAUCACUAUCACAAGCCACUAAAGUAAGAAUGUUUUCAGAUAGCAAAAAAAAAACAGAAUUAUA